UACCAGCACCCCGAGUGGUCGGGACGAUUAUUGGGCCUAAAGCAUCCGUAGCCGGUUCUCUAAGUCCUCCGUUAAAUCCAUCUGCUUAACAGAUGGGCUGCGGAGGAUACUAUAGAGCUAGGAGGCGGGAGAGGCAAGCGGUACUCAGUGGGUAGGGGUAAAACCCGUUGAUCCAUUGAAGACCACCAGUGGCGAAGGCGGCUUGCCAGAACGCGCUCGACGGUGAGGGAUGAAAGCUGGGGGAGCAAACCGGAUUAGAUACCCGGGUAGUCCCAGCUGUAAACGAUGCAGACUCGGUGAUGAAUAGGCUUAGUGCCUAUUCAGUGCCGCAGGGAAGCCGUUAAGUCUGCCGCCUGGGGAGUACGGCCGCAAGACUGAAACUUAAAGGAAUUGGCGGGGAGCACCACAAGGGGUGAAGCCUGCGGUUC
rnacentral:rRNA from 1 species